rnacentral:rRNA from 1 species
AGAGUUUGAUCAUGGCUCAGGACGAACGCUGGCGGCGGGCCUUAUGCAUGCAAGUCAAACGCACUCGACCUUCGGGUCAUAUGAGUGAGUGGCGAACGGGUGAGUAACACGUGAGAAACCUGCCCCGAAGACUGGAAUAACCCGGGGAAACUCGGGCUAAUACCGGAUAUCCCCAAUUAAUCGCAUGGUUAGUUGAGGAAAUGCUCCGGCGCUUCGGGAGGGUCUCGCGGCCUAUCAGCUAGUUGGUGAGGUAACGGCUCACCAAGGCAACGACGGGUAGCUGGUCUGAGAGGACGAUCAGCCACACUGGAACUGAGACACGGUCCAGACUCCUACGGGAGCCACCAGUGGGGAAUUUUGGACAAUGGGGGAAACCCUGAUCCAGCCAUUCCGCGUGAGUGAAGAAG